rfam:Oryza meridionalis cultivar OR44 (W2112) chromosome 1, whole genome shotgun sequence.
AAAAAGACAAAAUCUGGUUUUUCGUGUCCAACGACCAUCCGUCUUAUAUGAAUUUUUUUUAUAAUUAGUAUUUGCAUUGUUGUUAGAUGAUAAAAUAUGAUUAAUACUUUAUGCGUGACUUAUCUUUUUAAUUUUUUCAAAUAAGACGGACGGUUAAAAGUUGGACACGAAAAUUCAGUGUUUGUCUUUUU